AACGAACGCUGGCGGCAUGCCUAACACAUGCAAGUCGAACGAACCCUUCGGGGUUAGUGGCGCACGGGUGCGUAACGCGUGGGAAUCUGCCCUUUGCUUCGGAAUAACAGUUAGAAACGACUGCUAAUACCGGAUGAUGACGAAAGUCCAAAGAUUUAUCGCCAGAGGAUGAGCCCGCGUAGGAUUAGCUAGUUGGUGUGGUAAAGGCGCACCAAGGCGACGAUCCUUAGCUGGUCUGAGAGGAUGAUCAGCCACACUGGGACUGAGACACGGCCCAGACUCCUACGGGAGGCAGCAGUGGGGAAUAUUGGACAAUGGGCGAAAGCCUGAUCCAGCAAUGCCGCGUGAGUGAUGAAGGCCUUAGGGUUGUAAAGCUCUUUUACCCGGGAUGAUAAUGACAGUACCGGGAGAAUAAGCUCCGGCUAACUCCGUGCCAGCCGCCGCAGUAAUAC
rnacentral:rRNA from 1 species